rnacentral:rRNA from 1 species
UACGGAGGGGGCUAGCGUUGUUCGGAAUUACUGGGCGUAAAGCGCACGUAGGCGGAUCAGUUAGUCGGGGGUGAAAUCCCGGGGCUCAACCCCGGAACUGCCUUCGAUACUGCUGGUCUGGAGGUCGAGAGAGGUGAGUGGAAUUCCGAGUGUAGAGGUGAAAUUCGUAGAUAUUCGGAGGAACACCAGUGGCGAAGGCGGCUCACUGGCUCGAACCUGACGCUGAGGUGCGAAAGCGUGGGGAGCAAACAGG